GAUGAACGCUGGCGGCGUGCCUAAUACAUGCAAGUCGAGCGAACAGACGAGGAGCUUGCUCCUCUGACGUUAGCGGCGGACGGGUGAGUCACACGUGGAUAACCUACCUAUAAGACUGAGAUAACUUCGGGAAACCGGAGCUAAUACCGGAUAAUAUAUUGAACCGCAUGGUUCAAUAGUGAAAGACGGUUUUGCUGUCACUUAUAGAUGGAUCCGCGCCGCAUUAGCUAGUUGGUAAGGUAACGGCUUACCAAGGCAACGAUGCGUAGCCGACCUGAGAGGGUGAUCGGCCACACUGGAACUGAGACACGGUCCAGACUCCUACGGGAGGCAGCAGUAGGGAAUCUUCCGCAAUGGGCGAAAGCUUGACGGAGCAACGCCGCGUGAGUGAUGAAGGUCUUCGGAUCGUAAAACUCUGUUAUUAGGGAAGAACAAAUGUGUAAGUAACUAUGCACGUCUUGACGGUACCUAAUCAGAAAGCCACGGCUAACUACGUG
rnacentral:rRNA from 1 species